rnacentral:lncRNA from 1 species
GUUCCUUCCAAAGUUAAGAUCAGCAAUGUUAGCUUCAAGAACAUCAAGGGCACAUGUACUGACCCAGUUGCUGUGAAGCUUGCAUGCAGCCCAGGCCUGCCAUGUGAGAAUGUGGAAUUGAGUGACAUUGAUCUCAAGUACACUGGAGACAAAGGUCCUAUUACCUCUGUGUGUUCUAAUGUCAAGCCGACAAUUAAUCGCGUGGCACAGCCUCUUGCUUGCGCUACCGGCGCUGCUGCUGCUUGAUCUAACAAGAACAAACCAUGCUGCUGAUGUUUCUUCAGAGAUGCAUUGGUUGUGUGCUCUUCGAUUUUGUGCUAAUUGUACUUGGUGUUUUUAUCUAAGAGGGGGAAAAUAUCUCAGUACAAUUUUUUGUUACAUCUUAAAAGAGAUGAAUAAAUUAGUAGGAAUUAGAUGAAAAUAAUCAUGGGAAAGAGAAAGAAAGUUUUAUUUGAUUAAAAAAUAAUGUUUUUGGAAUAUGAAUCUUCUUUGGAUAUUUGUUUAACCAAAUUUUCUCAAUUAGCCUCUUUAUUUAAUUGUUUCUGUAUGAAUGACCAUCUCGACCAGUAGUGUGCUAGGAAGGGGAAAAGGGAGGGGUGAUUCAAUCCUAUGAUUUUUAUUUUUUAUGCAAGAAUAGAAGUAAAAACUUCAAACAAAAAAGAAGAAUGAGGAUUAUUAAUUCAAGUAAUGUGUUGAGUUUAAACACACAUUAGAAAAAGGGUAAACUGCUAAAUACCCCUUUGAACUAUCACGCUUGUCGAAAUCUCCACCCUAAAUUAAUUUUUCAGCCAAUUUAGCCUUUAUAUUAAAUUUCUUCUCCCACUUCUCCCUUGCCGUUAGCUUUUGACAAUUUCCAUCAAAUCUCUAUGAAAAAAGUACCAUGUUAGGCAUAUACUUCACUGUUAAAUUAAAAUUUUAUUUUUUUUCUCUGGUUCUUCAAAGUGCUUGAAUGUGGGUGAAAUAAAUCGGGAGGAGAGGGAAUUAUGGUUUCUGCAAGUGGGGGUUGGGAGGACGGGGGAGGUCAGGGGAUAUAUCUGUGGGUGGUGGUUGGUGGUUGGGAUAUGGGGUCCGAAGAAAUCAGAAUGAGGGAGAAAAAAUCGGGGGAGAGGGUGUUGAUUCUGGGUUUUGCGGGUUAGGGGGAAUGGGGGAAACUAGAAUUUAUAAAUAAAAAAAAAGCUGAAACUAGUCCAUCAACUCUAUAUUAUUCGCUCCAUUGUUCCUACUUUUACAUUCUGUCAAUAUUUCUGUUAAAUAUGAGGGAAAAUUGGUCAUUAUUUACCCUAAAAUUAGGUUAAAUCUAAAAGAAAAUUAGACAGUAGGACCACUGGAGCGAAUAAUGUAGAGGUGAGGGACCAUUUGAACAAAUAAUUUAGUUGAAGGACCAAAAUGUAAAUCAGGUAUAAGUUUGAAGACCAUUUCAGUACUUUGCCCGUUUUCUUAAUGCUAUACCUUGUAAAAUUUCAAAUUGACCCUUAUAUUUGACAGACAUUUGGAUGGAAUUGUGAAAAAGCUAACGGCCUGGGUGAAAUUGACGAAUAAAUUUAAUACAAUGACUAAAUUGGCUGAAAAAUUAAUUCAAGAUGGAGAUUCGACAAGCGUGAUAGUUCAGGGGGGAUUCGACAGUUUAUAAUCUUAAAAAAACUUAAAAAUUUGCUUAUCUACUAUAAUCUGCAUUUUUUAUGCGAGCCAUAUUAAUCAUUCUUGCUUCUUUGUAGUUGUGGAUUACGACAAAAAAAUGUGCCAAUCCCCUUGCAAUAUGAAUCUUCUUUGGAUAUUUGUUUAACCAAAUUUACUCAAUUAGCCUCUUUAUUUAAUUAUUUCUCUUCCCAGAUAUUUAGUACAUUGUAUAUGUUGUCUGUUGUGAAUGCGAGCAUCUAUCUUAACAUCUUAGUAACUUUUUGAGUAUGCUAUCGAUUUUAGGCUAUUAAUAGUGCUUGGAAAGAAGCAUGCGCACCCACAGCUCCGAACACGGUUGUGAUAGCAAAAGGAAACUACAUGGCUGGUCCAGUGAAGUUUCAAGGGCCCAGCAAAUCGCUGGCUAGCGUUCGAGUUGAAGGAACCCUGCAGGCUCUUGCAGAGCCAGAAAAGCUCAAGUCACAAGAUGGUUGGGUCGUUUCCCAAAAUAUUGAUGGGUUAACAGUCUCAGGAGGUGGCACUUUUGAUGGCCAAGGAUCAAUCGCUUAAUCCAAAAAUGAUUGUGCCAAGAGUACUGCCCAUGGAUCGAAUGCAAAGAAGGGGUAUCUAUCUAUAACAAUUUAUUAACAUCAUAUAUAUGUUCCUUGUUAAUCAAGUCAUCAUUUACUUAAUCUUUAAAAGGAUUUAAAUUGAUCAAUUCAUGAAUGGUUUUUUGUAGGUUCCUUCCAAAGUUAAGAUCAGCAAUGUUAGCUUCAAGAACAUCAAGGGCACAUGUACCGACCCAGUUGCUGUGAAUGCCUGCUGUUAAUGUAUGCAUUUUGAGUUUUUUCUUUUGGCUUCCCUAGACAAUUUUGUAAUAGGACAAUCAUUGUAGUUUCCCAAGCUCUAAGUUUAGAUUAAGAAUUACUUCUCUAGGUGUUCUUAUCUGCCUACAUUCUGAUGGAAAACAAUGCGUUUAACAAAGGUAAAUUCUGCAUUACACUACAUUGCAUUCACUAAAUUUCUGAAGAUUAUGACUAGUCAUCUUUCCUUCGUAUGACUAGUCAACCUUUGUUUCAAUUAGGAUUUCCAGCUCACUGUUUCCAGCUGGGGCUUAACCAUUUUUCUACGAAUUUCUCAGCUGCCAUGUGUCUAUUCUGACCUGAGAAUUUUUGGUAAAAGCCAAAGAAUUCCUCAUUUGGCAGCCGUCAUUUUUGUAGGCAAGUUUUGGAAAGUUUCUCUGUAAACUUUCUCUUCUUCCUCAAGUGUAACCUUCAUAUUUUUCAUCUUUGAGUUUUCCAAAAUGUUCCUUUUUGAAAACUGCAUUUGAAAUACGAAAACCUCAUCUUGCAAGAUCAAACACUCUCUCAUAUAUAUCUAGGUCAGAUUCAAGAUUGAUUUCUUCAAGAGUAUGGUUUCUUGAAGAAAUUGGUCAUUCUCCUUUGAAUCCAAAUUUUGGUUUCUGUCUGAGUUGGAACUUGCAAGCUGGUGCCAUUGGAUGAAUGAGCUGGAGAAUGAGCUGUCAUUGCCAUGAAGAACUGAGCUUCAAGCUUUGCUAAGUUAGAGAAGAAGAUUGCACAAAGGAGGCAUAGCUCAUCUUCCUAAAUAGAUCUAGGUUUUUCUUGAGCUUGCUUGUGUUCCUUUGUAAGAAUCUUUUUCUACUUAGUGGAUUGCAUGGUCGGUUGAUGACCCCUAGUUUUUCCCAAUGGUGGGUUUCUGGGUGAACAAUUUCUGAUUGCAUCUCUGUAAUUUUUCUGGGUUUCUGUUCUUGGUGGUUGACUAGUCAUCGUAAGAAUUCUGGGUUGUGUUCUUGGUGGUUGACUAGUCAUCGUAUGAAUUGUGGUUGACUAGUCAUUGUAUGAAUUCUGAGUUUGUGUUCUUAGUGGUUGACUAUUCAUUGUAUGAACUCUGGGUUUGUGUCCUUAUAGUUGACUAGUCAUCAUUAUCUGUUGUUUGGUGUUUACUUGAUUAUGAUGAUUUCACACACUUUCACCAUAGUUGUUGCUAGCACAGGGGAUGCCUAGAUUGACGGGUCCUUCUGAGUGCCUAGGUUGUCACUAGUAAUCUUCUAGGGUUGCAGGUACAUUGUGGCAUGCUCUGUGUGUAUUCUUGAUUGUGGUUGUUCAUGCCUAGCAGUUGACUAGUCAUAAGUGUACUUGGUCAAGGUCUGAAGUGUGUGAAGAUUGUUGCGUUUUGUUUAAGUGUCGUAAAAGUUAACCCUUGUCACCUAAGUACCAAUUUCAAUUGGCACUACUACAAAAAAGAAAAAAGACGACGGUAAAUCACCGUCGUGUAUUCGGUUUUUCAAUGGUCGUGGAAUCCACCGUCAUCUUUUCCCUCAUAAACCACGACGCUAAAUCACCGUCGUUGUUAAAAUAUACAACGUCAUCAACAAAUACAAAACGACGUCUUUGUACUGCAAAAAGAUCUAAAAAAGCAGUCGAGGAUGAGAAUAGACGACCAACUCUCUAAAAAAACCGUCAUUAAAAAGGAAAAAUAUGACACAUAUUAACAGAACAAGGCCGCAAGAUAGACAUACAACGACGAAAAUUAAAACAAGACGCCGUUAAAUAUCAUUAUCACGACAAUAAUCCUUCCCCGACGUGAUAUGAUGACGUCGUAUUUUUUAACGUUCAGAUUAUAUAUCUCGUUUUUUAGACGUCGGUAUUAUGGGAUUGGAGUCGUGUUAUUUUGAAUUACGUGGCGGUUCUUAAUCCUUCCCCGACGUGAUAUCCUGAAUAAUUCUUCACAAUAGCGUCGUGGUUCUUCAUUAUUACGUUGCUUUAAGACGUCGGUAAAUAUGCUGAAUAACUGGUUCACAAUAACGUCGUGUUUUAUUUGAACGUAGAAAGUGAAGAAAUCACAUUACAAUAUAUUACAAAAUUAAUGUCAUACACUGCCAAUUACAUAAGCAUCAUUCAAUCCAUAUAUCUUCACACCCAUCUCGAAUAUUUUGACCACCUAACUCACCCACCAGUUCAUCAAAUGUGUCAACAUUUGGCAUCCUUCUAGUAAAUGGCUCACACUCAAUUAUCACAUCACCUAAUACUUCAUCACCAAUAACAUCAUUAUAUUCUCUACUAGGCAUUGAUAACACUACCGACCAACCACGAUGCAUCGGGUCGUCAACAAAAAAUAUUUGUUUGACUUGAGAAGCCAAAACAAAUUGGUCAUUCCUAUGUCCAAUUUUACUCAAAUCUACAAGGGUAAAUCCAAGUUCGUCAACUACAAGACCAGAACUAUCUAUCCAAUCACACCUAAAGACUGGGAUUGUAAACUUUUGGUAGUCAAGGUCCCAAAUUUCUUGAAUGACACCAUAGAAACCCAUAUUUGAGAGAAUUGGGUUUUUAUCCUUGGCACUAGCAACUUGCAUGGUAUGUGCAAGUAAAUAAACUCCACUAUUUUGAGUUGUCCGCACAUCAUCUUGUGCCUUGAUAUUGAAUUUAAUACCUUUAAUAAGAUAGCUCCUAUAUAAUGGCACUGACAUGUUUGGACCAGCUGCUAGCCACCUUAAAUUUUCUGAUACGCCAUGAUUGUCUUCCUCAAGUUCACUUUGAACCUGCAAAUUAAUCAUAUCUUAAUUCAAUCUAACAUAGAAAUAAGAAGAAAAUUAAAAGAGAAAUAUGUUAUUCAACAACAUAUACCUUGAAGCGUAGCCAUUGAAUGAAAGUGCUAUUGUGCUUAUCCUGCAGCCACUUUGUUCUCUUUCUAAAUUUUGGAUAAGCAGUCUUGAUGUGGAUCAUAUGUUGCCUACAUGACACGAAAAAUUCAAGCAUUACGGUCCCAAAUAUAGAAGAUAAACAUAAGAAAUAAUUUAAAAUGGAAACUUAAAGAAUAAAACUCAUACGUACUCGAUAUAAGGUAGGACUUCCUCCGUAUUCUCCAAGACAUAUAGAUGUGCUUGAUUCAACAGGUCCUGAUCAACUACGCUCACUGUGCAACUUGAUAAUGGCUUUGAAAGUCCCAUCUUUUGGCUUGAAGGCACUCCAACUGUACUAACAUCAGAUAAAUGCUGAGUACAAAACUCUACCGCUUCUUCAGCUAUAUACCGCUCAGCAAUGCAACCUUCGGGACGAGUACGAUUCUGAACAUACCCCUUCAGCACUUUCAUAUAUUUUUCAAACGGAUACAUCCACCUAAAAUAUACUGGCCCACAUAGACGAACUUCUCUGACAAGAUGUACUACUAGAUGAACCAUGAUAUCAAAGAAUGAAGGGGGAAAGUACUUCUCAAGCAAACACAGAGUAACUACUAGAUCUUCUUCCAACUUAUCUAGCUUGGAAACAUCAACAGUCUUUGCACAUAUAGCAUUGAAGAAGAAGCACAAACGAGUUAUUGCAUACCUUGCAGGCUUCUCCAAAACAGAACGAAUUGCCACAGAGAGCAAUUGUUGCAUUAAGGUAUGACAAUCAUGUGAUUUAAGGCAAAGAAGACUUGAAUCUUGUAAAGAUACAAGAUUUUUAAUAUUUGAAGAAUAACCUUCAGGGACCUUCAUACCAUAGAAAGAAUUGCAAACCUCUCUCUUCUCUGCUCUGGACAAAUUCCAAGGCCCAGGAGGCAAACGAGUACGUCUUUCUCCAUACUCGGGUUGCAAAUCAGUUUUGACCCCUAUGUUCAAUAAAUCUAAUCGAGCAGCAAUCCCAUCUUUAUUUUUUCCAGGGAUCUCCAGCAAUGUACCAAUGAUACUAUCACAAACAUUCUUCUCAAUGUGCAUAACAUCUAGGGCAUGCCUCACAGGAAGGUAUUUCCAAUACUCGAGAUCAAAGAAUAUUGAUUUCUUCUUCCAACAAACUCUGUCACCAUUUUCAACCAUAUGCAGCACUUCUUCUCCGGUUAAUGGCUCGGGAGGUAUGCCAUAUUCAGGUUUCCCAUUAAAAGCUGCACGUUGCCUCCUAUAUGGAUGAUUGAUUGGUAACCAUUUUCUAUGCCCAAUGUAACAAAUUUUGUGGCCAUUUUUCAACCUGUGACUAGGUGUAUCAUCGCUGCAUAUUGGACAAGCUUUAUAUCCUUUAACAACACAACCAGAUAAGUUUUCAUAGGCGGGGAAAUCAUUAAUUGUCCAUAUUAAUGCAGCUCUGAGUGUAAAGUAUUCUCCAUUAUAUGCAUCAUACACUCCUCUAAUCCCAUCCCACAAAGAUUUUAAAUCAUCAAUCAAAGGCUCCAAGUAGACGUCUAUAUCAUUUCUGGGUUGUUUAGGACCGGAAAUCAAUAAGGUUAACAUCAUGAACUUUCGUUUCAUGCACAGCCAUGGAGGGAGAUUAUAUGUAACUAAGAUAACCGGCCAACAACUAUAUCUGCUACUUAGAGAACUGUGGGGAUUGAAUCCAUCAGAUGAAAGAGCCAAUCUCAAGUUUCUCGGCUCAUUACCAAACUCAGGCCAUUUAUCAUCAAGAAGUUUCCAAGACGGGGAAUCCGCCGGAUGAGACAUCUGACCGUCAAUUGAUUUUCUAGCAGCAUGCCAAGUCAAACUCUUAGCUGUCUCAUGUGAUUGAAACAUCCUUUUAAACCUUGGAAUUGGAGGAAAAUACCACACCACCUUCGCUGGCACACCCUCUUUCAAGAUUGAAUCUUUGCCUUCCUUCCACCUUGAGAUACCACAAGUAGGACAAUUAGUUGAAUCCUCAUACUCCUUCCUAUACAAGAUGCAAUCAUUGGGGCAUGCGUGCAUUUUCUCAUAACUCAGCCCCAAUGCACACAAAGUCUUUUUAGCCUCAUACAUGGAGGUUGGUAUUGUAUUUCCUUCUGGAAGCAAAUCGCCUUGAAGUAUCAAUAAUUCUGUAAAACAGACAUCACUCAUCCCAUGUUUUGCCUUCAAAUUAUACAACUUCACUAAUGCCGAUAACUUCGUGUACUUUCUACAACCAGGGUACACUGGUUGAUCUCCAUCCCCAAUCACAUUGGCAAACUCAUACGGAUCGGAACCAAAAUCACCAAAAUCAUUAUCAUCCAUAUCAAUUUCUUCAGACACAAAACUGUACCUACUAUGGCCAUCAUCUUCUUCAACAUUUCUACUAGCAUUAGUAGUUGCUUCCCAAGGUUCUCCGUGAAAUGUCCAAUUCUUAUAGCUUUGGUCAAUUCCAUUAAAGUAUAAGUGAUCCCUUAUAAUUCCAACCCCAAACAACUUCAAAUUAACACAUUUAACACAUGGACAACGGAUAUGUGUUGUAGUUAGAAGAUUUUCUACAGCAAAGUUCAAAAAUGCUUCCACCCCAAACUCAUAUGCCUUCAAUCUUCUAUCCGAGUGCAUCCAUGACUUAUCCAUCUCCGACACUAUAACCUAUUAUCUAUAAUAAAGUGAAAAUACAGGCAAUAACCAUCACUAUAGCAGAUUAUACAAAGAUCUAAUAGCAAGUAAUACACAACAGAGACGACGGGUUUUAAACAAAAACAGACGUAUUUGGCAUAUAUAGACAACGGAUUUUCAACAGACGUCGUCUAAUAUAAGUAAUACAAUCGUGUAAUCGUCGUCGUAUGCCUAAAAAGGCGUCGUGUCUCAGUUUAUUUUCAAGAACCCAAAACCCAUUAAGAACACAACAUAUAUAUGAAACCAAGCAAGAAACCAACAUAUACAUGAAACCAAGCAUGAAAACAAUAAAUCCAUUCCCAAUUCAACAUAACAUAGGGUGAUUAAAAGAUCCGACAAAAUUAAAUCCAUUCCCAAUUCAACAUAACAGAUAAUGUAAUCCAUGAACCCAUUAAACAGAAAAUCCAUGAACCCAUACCUAUAAGCACAUUAUUAACAGAUCGCAAAGCAUAUACCUAAAACCCUUUAACAAAACAACCUAAUAUCAUUCAAUGAAUUUACAAGGGGAAGAUAGGGUUUGUACUUACAGGUUGGACGAGCUCACAGAUUCGACGGAGCCUGGAGAGUGCAACUUUUAAUUAGAGCAGAAGUGAGAGAGCGAAAUGUUAUGUUGCGCGAAAUCUGAAAAUUUUAGGGUUCAGGGUUAGAAGUAUAAGAAUAAGAGCAAAUCUAAAAAAUUUAGGGCGCGCGAAAAUUUUUAGAGAGCGCACUCUUUAAAACGUCGAAAGAAAAACCAUGGCGAAAGUUCUACAAGAACCGACGUAAAUGUAAUAUUCCACGACGGAAACACUGAACGUAACGCCGUUUAUUUUGACGCUUCAUUUUUCGGAUUAAUUUUAAAUUUAUUUUGAAUAUUUUGAUAUAAAGACGACUGAAAAACCACGGCGGGAUUAAGAAAUUGAAAACGUUGUAAAUUAUAAUAGACGACUUACAUAUUAAAUUGACGUCGUUUAAAGUAUAAACCAUGUCGGAUAUUUUACUGCACGACGUAACAUAUGUAUUCCACGACUCAACCACCGUCGUUAAAAAUUAAUACCCUAAACCCUUAAAACUAAAUUAUAUAAUUUUAAAAAUUAAGUUUAUAAAAGGGUUUAUGGUUUUACAGCCUAAUAUAUACCCUAGACUACCCAAAAAUUAUACUUUAAAAAUAAACCCCAAUAAAUAACAACCCUAAUCUCUAAACCCUAGACUCUAAACCCUAAACCAUAAAACUAGAAGUGAUUUUAUGACUCAUCAAAACAAUUUUGUUUUGGAUGGUCAUUUUAAAUUUUUGUUAUUCAAAAUGAAUUUUUUCAAGGUUUAGCGGGAAGAAAAUAUAUCAAUGACUUCAUAGGAGUUGACUUUGCAUUUUUCUGAUUUAUUUUAAAUUUAUUUUGAAUAUUUUGAUAUAAAAAUAAUAAAAUAUUCUUAUCACAACAACAAACCACGUCGGUGUUAAUAAAUUGUAGACGUUGUAAAUUUUAAUAGACGACUAAGUUGUUAAAAUGAUGUCAUUUAAAUGAGAAACCAUGGCGGAUAUUUAACUAUCCGACGUAAAAUAUAUAUUCCACGACUUAACCACUGUCGUUACAAAGUACUACCCUGAACCCUUAAGAAAUUGAAGACGUUGUAAACCAUAAACGACUCAAUUGUUCAAAGAACGUCGUCUAAAUAUCCUUUUACGUCGGAUUUGUUUAAAACGAAACAACAAAAAACGACGGUUUUUGACUUUAUUAGGUCGUUGGAAAUGUAUUACACGUCGGUUACGCAAUUUGUAUGUUUGUUUUUUUUUUAAUUUAAGAAAACCUCAACAAAUUUUUACAUUAUAUAUUAUAGCCAAAAUUUGUACAUUAUACAUAAAUAUCAAGUGUUCAAUAAUUCCCCUAUUCCAGGUGAAGGCAAACAAACUCUGCCCAUUCAUUCCGGACUUCAUCAAUUGCUUCUUGGGGGUAUGGCGCUUCCUGUUUUCCCUUGGCAUACUGCAUAAACAAUGACUAUUAGGGUUUAUAAAUAAAAAGAAAUUCAAUCACAGACGACGAUAUUUUUCAUAACCGACGUAGUAUAUUUAUUCAACGACGGUAAUUUUACAUGACCGUCGUUGAUAAUACAAAAAACGACGUAAAAUGUAUGAAGGUAAUUUCUUCUUACCUUCUUCUCAAAUGCCAAGGAAGGAUCCAUGAUGAUGUCCCUCAUGAAGCGCAUCACAUAAUACCCGCAUUCGACACUGCUGGGUUGCUUUGGUGUGCCUGACAGAGUUUUCCAAAUUACUGCCUUACGGCCUGAUCUGGCUAUGUGAGAAUUAUAAAUUUUUAUAACACUGUUCACGAUGUUUUUGGCCUCUUCAUCGACCACACGAUUUCCUGGCAGAGGAUCCAGAAAAUAGACGGUUUCCCUCUUUGCUCUCACAAUCAGCAAGAUCCAAUGACGGCUGCACAAAAUUAAUAUAAAAACAACGGUUAUUUACAAAAACGACGUAUUAUAAUAUUUCACACGACGAAAUAAAGUAGCAAUCGACGACAUUAUAUAUUUAUCACGACGAUAAAUAACUACCGACGUGGUUAGUAGUUUCAAACGACUCAAUAAAAUAAAACACCGACGUGGUUAGUUUAUACGCUGUCAUUUAUUGAAAAUCAUAAAAACAAAAUCCUGUUAAGGAGACUAACCCUGGAUUGUAAGGCAUCAUGAAAAUCUGUUCACCGUCAGUCCUCUGAAGUCGAGCUGCUACCAGUCGUGAUCUGUCAGCUAUUGUGCCAGAGUUGGCACUAACUGUAGCAGGGUCGAUAAAGCCUACCAUGCUGCACAUAUUUGCUUGUUUCAAAACAUCGUGUAAGUACCUAAAUAUAUAAAAUAAUAUAAACAAGUCAGCACAAAAAAACACACGACGGUUACGUAUAACAAAACGACGUAUUAUAAAAUUUCAUACGACGUACUGAAAUAAACAAUGACGUUAUAAUAUAUUUAUCACGACGGUACAUACUAACGACGUGGUUAGUUAGUUAAGACGACGCAAUAACGACGGUACAUACUAACGACGUGGUUAUUUUAGAAUGACAAACCUCAUAUAUACAGUAAUGACCGUAGCUCCUAUUUCUUCCAUGCCUGCAAAUUGUGUAAUAUCUUCAGGCAGGAGGAAGGUAUCGCGUUCUAGACCAAACACCUCCUUAUCAAUUGUAAAGUUCAGGGUCUUAUCCUGAGGCACGAGUGUCGUUUCCACAUAACGACAAAGGGAUUUUAAAGAAGAUGGCGCCUCCAUAUUUGAAUAAUCAACAACUUCAAAAACCUGUUUAAAAAAAUAAAAAAAAUGACGUGGUAAUUCAAUAAAAACGACGGUUUAAGGAAUAAAACGUCGUCUGAAAAGAAUUUAAACGACGGUGAAAAAACCGUCGUGGUGAAUAAUUUAUUACGUCUUAAAAAAAAUUCCGCCGUCUAAAUUGUAAACAAACGACGGUUUAAAGAAAAAUAUCGACGUCUGAAAUUUUGAAAAACAAAUAAAAGAGGCAAAGUUAUGUGAACAUACCUGGUCGUCAUGCUUUUCUUCAUCUUCUUUCUCCUUUUCAUCUUCUUUUUCUUCUUUCUUCUCUUCAUCUAUUACGUCAGGAAUGACUAACCCCGUCGUCUAAAAACCACAAAGUUUUAAAAAUAACGACGUUUAAUGGCGUGUAAAACAAGUAAACUAAAUACGACGUGGUAUUGAAAUACAAACGACGGUUUAUUUUUAAAAUCGUCGUGGUAUGUAUUUCAAACGACGGUUUAUUAAUAAUAACGACGUCUAAUAGUUUUUAAAAAAACAGAGAAUUCAAAGUUCAGAUAUGUUACCUUUUCUUCCUGAUGUUUCCCAUUUUUGGCAGUAUCAUCCUCAAAAUGUAGGGAUCUCACAUCACCUCCAGAGCAGCUUGCUUUGUCAGACAUUGGAUUUUUGGGACUUUGGCUAAUUCUUGGUUUAAGCAUGCUUGGAUCAAAAUUGGGAAUUAAUUGGGAAAGCUGACUCAGGAAAUGCUCCCUCUCAGCCUCUACCAAUUGCUUGGUUCUAGCCUCCAUCCUUAAAGCCUCUUCCCUUGCCUUAGCUUCCAUCUUUUUAUUCUCUUCUUGAAGGAGAACUCUUAAACUGUCCUUUAAACGGUCGUCAAAGCUCAUCCUCUGUGGUUUGGGUAAAUUGAAAUAUUGCCUUGGGGAAAUCCCAGCACCUACCCCUCUCACUCUGCCUGGAUGCUCGGGGCCCAAAGCCAUGGUCAGCACAUCAUUGCUGCCAGAUACAGUGACUUUGCCUUCCGAGACUUGUUUUUGUAAUUCAUCCUAAAACAAAGAUAUAUAAAAAAGUAAGAACAAAAAACACACGACGGUUAUUUAUAUACAAACGACGUAUUAUAUAAUUUCAGACGACGCAGUAACAUAUAAAUCGACGUUAUUAUAAUUUAUCACGACGGUAGUUAUACCGACGUGGUUAGUUUUUUAAAACGAUGAAAUGAAUAAACCACCGACGUCUUAUGCUAUAAUUACAGAAAACAGAGUAGUGAUUCCCGAUUCAGACCUUUAACGACGUUUUUUAAAAAAUUUCGACGUGGUAAUAUCAUUCACACGACGCAAAAUAUAACAUAAGACGUAAUAAGAAUUAUUCACAGUUUAAUAAAAAUUUAAAACAGAGUGAGUAGGCUUACAAUUAAUUUUGCUUUCUCUGCCACCUUUGGAUCCGGGAUGUUACCAUGUUUAUCCUGUCUAGCUCUCUUCCAUAAGGUAGAUCGAUCAAUUUCUACCCCAGGCAUGGUUUCCUCCAAUUGAUCCUCCAAACCAGCAUAUCCUUUUCGAGACAAUCGAUGAUUGUACUCAAGUUUCUCCCUAAUCUGUGCAUGUUGAGAAUGCACAGACUCAAAAUCUUUGGAUAACCUUGAAGCUACAAAGGCAUCCCAUUGUGCUUUCUCUAUGAAUUUAUAUGUUUCAGGGGGUUGGCUUAAUCUCUCCCUGUCAUUGGUGUAUGGAAGGAUAUAAUGCCUCGUUAGUGUAGACUUGAAAUCCUUCCAUUUCUUGGCAGCAGAAGCUAACACAGAGUUCUUGCCCCCUUGACCUACCACACAAGCAAUGUCAACUGCUUCCCAAAUCUGCUCCUUUAUAUCCUUGGGGAUUUGAGCCCAUUUCAUGUCCACAAGUGGAACUCUGGAGCGUGCCAACACACCAAUGUAGGACUGCAUCUCACUAUGUGCUUGGCCAAUUCCUUUCCCCCUUUUAUUGUACUCAACAAUUGGCCUGAGUUUCUGAAGUUUUCUCUUCACAACACGAGGCAUUGUGCUCAUACCUCGACCAGACUUUGAAUCAUCAGAGAUUGUUGUCGUGCUGGUUGGUUCUGUCUCAGCAGAUGAUGAAGCAAACUUCAUCUUCUUCGAAGACUUCAUCUUCUUCGAAGACUUCUCUUCAGGAGUUACCAUUCCAAGCUCCUUACCUCCAUUUUUCUUGGAGCCAGAGUCCUUACUUUGGUCUUGGUGAGAAACUAUUUUUACAGACAAAACUGCAAGUGAAAAUAUUUCAGGAAAAGAUUAAGAACACAAACGACGGUUAUUAAUAAAAUACGACGUAUGAUAUGAUUUUAAACGACGCAAUGAAAUAAUCUCAGACGUAAUAAAUGUUUAAAACCAAGGUAAUUAAACAACGAUGAAAUAAUAUAAAAUAAGACGUAAUAAUAACUUAUUACGUCGAUAUUUACCAGACGACGUGAUAAUUAACUAUAAACGACGAAAUAUUUAUAUAACGUCGUGGUAUUGAUGUUCACACGACAUCAAUAGUAAUAUACCGUCGUCUAUAUAAGGAUCCAAAACCCUUCUUUCUUUCUCUGUGAAUGUUUGAUUGCAUAUUUGAUUUUUCUGAACCAUGGUUUUUGUUUUCUAAUUUGAUAAAAUACAAGGCCAAGAAAGAAAGUUUUGGAAUCUUAUAUAGACGACGGUAUUUUAAUAUGACGUCGUGGUAUUAACAUUCACACGACGUAAAACAAUAAGAUACUGUCGUCUAUAUUAGAUACCAACCCUACUUUCUUUUUCUUUAUAUUUUAUCAAAUUAGGGAAAAACAAAAACCAUUGUUCAGAGAAAUCAAACCUGCAAUUAAACAAGCAAAUAAAAAAAAAGACUAUAAUUUUAAAAACAACUUUGUCAAUUUUCAGACGACGCUAGAACGACUGACGAACCGUCGUGGUCUACAUAUUUAACCACGUAAAUAAGAAGCUACCGUCGUCUUAUUUAGUUGAGGUAGUUGUCUUCAAAGUUGGAAACUUUCCCUCUUUGUCUGUAUAUGUUAUCGAACUUGGAAAGAAGUAAAAUGAUUUUGGCCAGAAAAAAGGUAAAAAGAUUUUUCAAACAAAAAACGUAUGAGCAUGCAAAACAGCAACCAAAAUAGUGAAAAUGAAAGCUUACCUUUUGCGUGCAAUGAAAGCAAGAGGAAGAUUAUGUUUAAGUUCAGAGACGACGAAGAAGACGAGAGGAAGACGAUGAGAUACUCUGACAGUGCUCUGACAAGGAAAAAAGUCUAAAAGUUUUCUCUGGAAGAUUGAAAUUUUUAAUCGGGUUUGGAAACAGCGCAUGUGUAAGUCAGGUAGACGAAAAGUUGCUUACAUAUAAAACCAUUUCAAAAAAAUAAUACGGCGGUUAUAUAUAACUACGACGUAUAAAUUACAAAAUACGACGGUACAUUUAACUUCGGACGUGGUAAAUAAAUACGACAGUAGUGUUGUAGGUACCGUCGUAGUAAACUCAAAAAUUAAAGUACAUAAGUAAUAACUCGCGUCAUGGUAGAUUAUUUAACAUGUCGUUUUUAUUAAUGUACCGACGUGGAUUUUUGUAAUAUACGUCAGUCAUACCGACGUUGAUUUUACAAUAUAAACGGCGGUUUUUUUGUAAGGACCGCCGUUGGUUUUAAAAAUUUAUUCUAUAAAUUUGUCGCUUUCAUUCAUUUUCGGUUUACAUUUAGGGUUCCAAGUUCUUCCUCUCUCAGAGACACUGUCUCUCACGUCUCAAAGACAAUAAUUUGGAUGUCUUUCUCAAAGAGAAAUUGAGCUUACUCGCAUCAAAUAUAUGUCCACAAGAAGAAGCUUGUCAACUAGCCUUCUCACUUCCUUGAUCAAGCCUGAUAGGACACUUAGUGCUUCUGAAUACUCCUUGCUUUCCAUCAAAAGAGAUGCAAGCCUGGCCUCCACUCGCUGUCGAAGGAAAGUUCGCUUCUCAGGGAAAUCUGCUUGAUUUUCUUAGCUAAGAAGAUCCGUCAGAUUUGUGAUAGCCUCUUCCUUUAUCCGUAGAGCUUCAGAAGAAGAAGAUGGGUUUCAAGAAUGCGAUAAUGAAUAGAAAUGGCUUCAGAUGACCUCUAAAGCAUGAGCAAUCGAAUCAGUAGUUGCUGGGAGAUAUGAUGAAGACAUUGUCAAUGCUUUGAACUAUACAAGUCCUGCAGAAAGAUAAAGGACCAAACUGUUAAAGAAACUGAAACAACGGCGGUUUUCUGUUCUACCGUCGUCUUUUCUCAUCGUCUAUAUUAAGGUAAGAUGGCGGUAGAUUUAUAAUUACCGACGUAGAUUAUUUUGUUAAACGUCGUUAAGUGUACUACAACCGACGUGGAAAUUUAAAAUAAGGGAAAUUAAUGUUCUAUAAUUUGUAAACUAACACGACGCAAUAUUACCAACCCGAGGAAAUUAUAAAUAGAUUUUGCUUUCCCGAAGAAAUUUUAAAUUAAUUCAGUUUGAAACAACGACGGGUUUUUGUUAUGCCGUCGUUUUUAACUAACACGACGCAAUAUUUAUUUUGCGACGUGGAAUCUUUUCAUUUAACGUCGUUAGGUUUAAUAUAACCGACGUGGAUUUAAAUUUUUAAAUUAUGAAUAGAAUUUUUUUUUCCGUGACCUUUCAGUUUAUUUUUCAAUUACAGUGCGUUAUAAAUAGAGUUUUUUUUUUCCGGAGGAAAUUUAAAAUGAAGGAAAUUAAUGUUCUGGAAUAUGUAAAGUUUCUUUUUUGGAUGACAGAUUUAAAUAAAAUAAGAAUAUAAAAACAACGACUGUUUUUGUAUUACUGUCGUCGUUUUUCGUCGUCUUAAGUAAGACUAAGACGACGUAAUAUAUUUGUUGAGCGACGUUGAUUUGUUUUUUAAACGUCAUUAGGUAUAAUAUAACCGUCGUUGAAAAUUGUCUCUCUGAUUGCAAAUUUGCAACGACGUUAGGUAUAAUAUUUGUAGAUACACAAACGCGCACACAUCAUCAACUUCCAAAAAAUUGUCUCUCUGAUUGCAAAUCUAUGUCAUCUGUUAAGAUUAUGAUGUGGAACAGAGUUCCAUCUGGUAAGAUUUCCUAACCCUUGGGAUCUCAGACAAAUCUGAUUAUGUCGGCGGUUUUCUAUAUAAACCGUCGUGGUUAUUUCAAUUCUUGUCAUUAAGUAGAUCUACCGAUGUAGGAUAAGAAAAUCAAAGAAAAAAAUUGUUAACAAAAAUUCUUAUUAAGACGACGGUUUAAAUUAAAGGUACGACGUAUAAAAUGAAUAAAUACGACGUUAAAUUUUAUUGUACGAUUUAAAGAUAACGUCGUAGAACUAUACGAGAAUGACGUCGAUAUAUUUAUAUUUUCCGUCGUUGUACAUUAAUUUAAUACGGCGAUAUUUUGUAUUUUAAAGCCGUGGAUUUGUUUGUAAUUAUACGGCGUCUUAUACGAAAACCUCGUCGUGUUAUUUUAUGAGUAAAAACGGCGGUUUUUAUUGAAAUCGUCGUCUUUACUUUCUAUGUCGGUCGAUUCAUAACUUUUGCCAUUCUUUGUUGGCAUUGAUUUUACACUGCGGAAAUCUGUUUCAAAUAGACGUCGGUUGUUUAAUUAGGUACGUCGUUGUUUUUGAACAGCCAUUUGAAUCUCCAUUUUUUAGUUGUCUAAGGUUGUAUUACACGACGGUGUUUUUAGAACCGUCGUCUUUUUAAAAACCACGACGGUUUUCACUUAGACCGUCGUUGUUUUCUGGUCGUCUUUUUCACUUUUUGUAGUAGUGUGGUAUCAGAGUACCAGCUAUUAACAUAAAUAGAGAGAUCUUUUGGGUGCUAAUUGGUAUUAGGUGUGCAAAAAUAAAAAUAGAUCAAAUUGCUCCUUGCAUUCAUGAUGAGCUUGCCUUGUUUGUUAAGAAUUAUAGAAUGGUUGUCAAAGAUAAAACCAAAGUCACUAGGAAUUGUCAGAAUCUUCCUCGUCUACAUGUGUGUCUCAAGACAAUGUUUUUGAGGAGAUGAAUUUUUUGGACUCUUAUGGCUUUAGAGAGAACAAAAGUUUGAAGGGUCUUAUAAAGUGCUAUCUAUAUGGUGGUACUGGUCACAUUGAUAUGGAAUGUGCAAAUAACCACAUAACAGAGUCUAAUGGGAGAGAAGAGUCAAUUAGUGCACAAUGGAGUGAUAAUGAUAGUGAUGAUUCUAAUAACUAUAUCACUUCAUCUUAUGAAGAGGCAAAUAAUUUUGCCCUUGUUGGUUCUGUUCAUAACUCUAGCCUUGCUAGAGUUCAUGUAGUUAAGGAAUGAAAAUCUAAUUCAGGAAAUGAAUCUGUGUCUGGAGAUGAUAGACAGGAUGACUAGUCAUACAGGGAACAUGAUGACCAGUCAUACAAGGAACAGGAUGACCAGUCAUACUUGGGUAUGUGUGAAAAGUAUGAUGUCUUUUUUACUGAAAAUUCCAAGUUUAAGGAAAGAAAUCUCUUACUAGAAGGGAAGGUAAAGAACCUGGAAAUUCUUAAUUGCACUUUUAAAGAAGCAAAUAAUGAAUUGAGUGAAAAUGUUGAGACCUUUGAGAGUGAAAGGGAUUCAUUGAUUGUCAUUAAAAAUGACAUUUCAAACCAAGUGAAUGUGCUCAAGGAAAACAACUUGAUUUUCCAAGCCUCCAACAAGAAUUUGUUGACUCAGAUAAAUGAGACAAAUGACACGGUGAUCAAGCUUACCAUAGGGGCUAAAAAAGUGAAUAAAAUGUUAAAUAUGAGUAAGGUUCAUGGAGACAAAACUGGUUUUGGUUAUGGUUGUUCUAGUUUAUGUGUUCCUCCUCCUUUGACCACAUUUGUCAAGGAGUCAAAUACAAGGUUUGAUGUUUUAGAGCCAACUAGGACUCAAAGAUUCAUUCCUACUUGUCACCAUUGUGGUGUGAAAGGUCACAUUCGACCUAGGUGUAAUGCUCUAAGGAAUGUGUCUAGAGCAACCAAUGCAAAUGGCUUUAAGAACCAUGUUUCAUCUCUUAAAACAUGUGAGCUUGCAAAAUCUAUUCUUUGUAAAAGGGAUAAACCUUCUUCACUUACAAAAUUUGGUUUCCCAAAACCAAAAAGGUUCUUUCCUACUUGCCAUCAUUGUGGCACAUUAGGACACAUAAGACCAAAGUGUUUUGAGCUUAGAAAUUUUGAGAAAAAGUCUUUUGUUGAUUUCAAGAAAGUAAAUGAUGACUCACUUCAAACUCAAGUGAAUGAUCUUCUUUAUAAAGUUGUCAAAAUUCCUAAGUUGAUCUCUUUACCUCAUAAAGUUUCAAAACUGAAGCAAGUUUGGGUCAAGAAGAAAGACCAUGUUCUUCUUCAUGUUAGUGACUAGUUUAUUCGUGUUAUGUAUCUAGACCAUUCUCUUGUUUAUGCGUGCUUCAUGGAGUCUAGAUACAUUGUCAUGUAUAUGCAUUUUACUUGUUAUUUUCUUUAUUUUGGUCUCAUAAUUUCACCUUGUGCACAUCAUUCAUCUCUCACAGUACUUUGGAUCUCAUAUUCCUUCAAACUUCAUGAUGUGUGAGAUCUUGUAGAUGUUUGACUAAUUGACUUAAGGUAUUUUCUUACAUAAGAGAUCUUGGUGAAAAUAAUGUCUUGAAAUUUGCGCAUAUUGAGAAGCAACUAGCUGUUUUUUAACUCUCAACCGCUAGAUACUUGAAGGUAUUGAUUUCCUUCAAAGAUCUAUUGGGUUGUCCAAAAUGGAUUAACUUGUGUUUUCAAUUUCAUGUGCUUACAAUCUGAAUUUCCAUUUUGUUAGUGUUAAAAAAAAAAUUUGCAUAUAAGCUCUCUUCUCUCAAAAUGCAUGAUUCUUAUGAGUGGGAGUCUUUUCAUGAUGUUGUAGAUGUGAAAGAGUUUUCCCCAUUCUUGUCUACAAUUUUGAGCUUUUUUAUUGAAUAUACUUGUGUUGCAUGAUAUGCUUUGAGCUAUCUAUAAAGUGUCUAAGAUCACUUCCAGUUGUCUCUCUACCUUGAUCUUUUGAUCCAUUUGGAAAUCGAAAUGCAAAUAAAUUGUUGGGUAAAAGCCUUGGAAAUGCAUUGUCCACAAAUAUAGAAAAAGCAUUUUCGGACAAGCAAGUGUGCUAUACUUAUUUUUUUUUUAAAGGUAAAAGCGCUUGGAAGAGCAUUGUACACCCACAAAUAGAAAAGCAAAAUUGUACAAGCAAGUGUGCUAUGCCUUUCUAAAAUAUUGAUAAAUGUCAACUUUUGGAUCACAUUUCUUGGUAGGGUUUAUGCCUUGAUUUCUAGAACUUAUAUUAGAUUUGAUGCUUGGAAAGUCUCAUGCAACUCUUGGAAAUCAUUAUUGAAGCUCAUAUUGAAUUAGGCCUCCUUUUUCCCAAACUCCUUACUCUAUGCUUUAUGAGAGGUUCUAACUUAUGUAUCUCAUUGAUUUUGGGAAUUGAGUGCAUACAUUGCUUUGGCAUGUUAAUCUUUGUAGUUCAACUAUUUCCCACUUGUGUUUUUCCAAAUAACCUAAGCACAUGUUAUGGAGAUGCAUGUUAUUCUAUUGCAUGACGUUUUUCUAAUCCAAAUUCUAGUUGCUUCCAUCUCAAUAUGGCUUAUUAUGCUUUGAUAUCUCUUUGUAUGCUAUGCUUUGGGUCAAUGUGUUUCAUGCUAGCUUUCUGGAAAUCAUUUCUACCUCGCAUGACUAGUCAUCCAAUCUAGCAUUCUUUGUGUCUCACUGAUUCAUUAUUGGUUGCAUUUUUGUUGUGUUAUUUGUUGUGCUUAAGGGGACUCUACACUUUAUGCAUUCGAGCACUUUUCUUUUAAUGUGGUUUGGACUGUUUUGAGUCUUAUUGUAUGCAUUUGUGACCAUACUUUGGAGUCAUUGACUACUUGGUAGUCUUUCUUGUAUCUCUUUGGCUGUGAUAAUCCAUACUUUGCUUUAGCGAAGCAUCUUCAUUGACAUGUCAUGGGUUUGGUCACACAAUUGAGAAUUCUGUGAGUUUUCUUGUUUAAGUAAUGUUGGUGUUUGUUUUCUGAGCCCAUAUGACUAGUCAUAUAUACCAUUAGUCACUGGUAUCAGUUUGGUCUUAAGGUAUUUAGUCCUUCUUGGAUUUGACCCAUGUUACCAUAUGUGACAUGGUUGUCUUUAUUGUGGUUUCCUUAAGUCACUUUUGAGUAGACUUCUGUUGAUGUUGUUGCUUUAUGCAACUCGAAUGAUGAUUGUCUUGGCUGCAAUCUCCUGUUUUGAAUUUAUAGGUCUAUUGCACUUUGUGAUUUUUCCAUUAAAGGGAGCUUGUUAUUUACUUGUCCUUGGAACACUUUGUUAUGUAGUGAACUGCUUACUUCUUCUUAGGAUUGAUCUCGGUUAUGGAUUUCCUUUAUUAUUUAGAGCUUUAGUUCUCAGCACUUAGACUUUGGCUAUAGGAGGAAAGUCCAUUCUUGUUUUGAAGAGGAGUGGCUUAUGCAUUACCCUAGCUUACUUUAGAUUUGCUUGGGUGUGAUUGUUGUUUUUCCUUGGUGACAUGCAUUCUUUGGUUAAUUUCACAUCUUUCUUUGUGUCAAAGGUUUUGUACGUUAUUUUCAUCUUGGAAUGUCUUCUUUAUUAUGUGCAUUGAAAUUAAAUUCAGCCACUUGAUUUUAAUUGCUUUAGGUAUGAUUCCUUGCAACUUGUGCUCCAUUUCUUAUUCUUUUUAGUCUGAUGCACUUUUGUGUUUGUUGGCUAUUUAUGGACAGUUUGCUGGAUUAGUACAUCAAAGGUUAAUUCCUUUAUGUUAUAUGAUACUCAGGGGGAGUAUUUUUGGACAGGUUGGGUGGUAUAUUUUUGUAAUCUCAUUGUGCGGAUCUUUUUGCUUGGGUAGUCUGUGCAACUUGAUAGGGGGAGUUGUCUUGUAUUGUUUUGAGCAAAUGUUGUUUUGCUUUGUAAUCAAACCGUGUCAUGUGCAUAUUGUUCAAAUCUGAUUAUGUGACUUGUGUUUAAUUCACUUGAUUACUGUUUCUCUAUAUUUGCCUUUUUGCUCUUUCCUUAUCAACAAGGGGGAGAACACUCUCAACCCCAUAUUGCAUAUAUUGCAUAUUGCUUCAAAUUUCUGUGAUAUAAUAUGCUUGUCUUGUGCCUGGGAGUUUGGUUGUUGUUUUGCAGGUACUUCAUUUCAUCAUCUCCAUAGGUUUAGUUUUGGGUUGAGUGUAUUUAGAGAGUGUGUUGUCAAGGAAAGCCAAAAAGAGGGAGAUUGUUAAUGUAUGCAUUUUGAGUUUUUUCUUUUGGCUUCCCUUGACAAUUUUGUAACAGGAAAAUCAUUGUAGUUUCCCAAGCUCUAAGUUUAGAUUAAGAAUUACUUCUCUAGGUGUUCUUAUCUGCCUACAUUCUGAUGGAAAACAAUGCGUUUGACAAAGGUAAAUUUUGCAUUACACUACAUUGCAUUCACUAAAUUUCUGAAGAUUAUGACUAGUCAUCUUUCCUUCGUAUGACUAGUCAUCUUUCCUUCGUAUGACUAGUCAUCUUUCCUUCAAUUAGGAUUUCCAGCUCACUAUUUCCAACUGGGGCUUAACCAUUUUUUUUUGUCCUUUUCUAUGAAUUUCUCAGCUGUCAUGUGUCUAUUCUGACCUAGGAAUUUUUGGUAAAAGCCAAAGAAUUCCUCAUUUGGCAGCCGUCACUUUUGUAGGCAAGUUUUGGAAAGUUUCUCUGUAAACUUUCUCUUUUUCCUCAAGUGUAACCUUCAUAUUUUUCAUCUUUGAGUUUUCCAAAAUGUUCCUUUUCAAAAACUGCAUUUGAAAUAUGAAAACAUCAUCUUGCUAGAUCAAACACUCUCUCAUAUAUAUCUAGGUCAGAUUCAAGAUUGAUUUCUUCAAGAGUAUGGUUUCUUGAAGAAAUUGGUCAUUCUCCUUCGAAUCCAAAUUUUGGUUUCUGUCUGAGUUGGAGCUUACAAGCUGGUGCCAUGGGAUGAAUGAGCUGGAGAAGGAGCUGUCAUUGCCAUGAAGAACUGAGCUUCAAGCUUUGCUAAGUUGGAGAAGAAGAUUGCACAAAGGAGGUAUAGCUCAUCUUCCUAAAUAGAUCUAGGUUUUUCUUGAGCUUGCUUGUGUUCCUUUGUAAGAAUCUUUUUCUACUUAGUGGAUUGCCUGGUCGAUUGAUGAACCCCAGUUUUUCCCAAUGGUGGGUUUCUGGGUGAACAAUUUCUGAUUGCAUCUCUGUAAUUUUUCUGGGUUUGUGUUCUUGGUGGUUGACUAGUCAUCGUAUGAAUUGUGGUUGACUAGUCAUUGUAUGAAUUCUGGGUUUGUGUUUUUAGUGGUUGACCAGUCAUUGUAUGAAUUCUGGGUUUGUGUCCUUAUAGUUGACUAGUCAUCAUUAUCUGGUAUUUGGUGUUUACUUGAUUAUGAUGAUUUCACACACUUUCACCAUAGUUGUUGCUAGCACAGUGGAUGCCUAGAUUGACGGGUCCUUCUGAGUGCCUAGGUUGUCACUAGUAAUCUUCUAGGGUUGCAGGUACAUUGUGGCAUGCUCUGUGUGUAUUCUUGAUUGUGGUUGUUCAUGCCUAGCAGUUGACUAGUCAUAAGUGUACUUGGUCAAGGUCUAAAGUGUGUGAAGAUUGUUGCCUUUUGUUUAGGUGUCGUAAAAGUUAACCCUCGUCACCUAAGUACCAAUUUCACCUACCAUGUGAGAAUGUGGAAUUGAGUGACAUUGAUCUCAAGUACACUGGAGACAAAGGUCCUAUUACCUCUGUGUGUUCUAAUGUCAAGCCGACAAUUAAUCGCAUGGCACAGCCUCUUGCUUGC